rnacentral:rRNA from 1 species
UGAUUCAUGACUGGGGUAAGUCGUAACAAGGUAGCCCUAGGGGAACCUGGGGCUGGAUCACCUCCUUAUACGA